CCAGAUUUUUUGAAAUCAGCCCGCGAUUCUUUUCCCCGCUGGCUCCCCUGCCUCCUCCCUCCCACGAGCGAGAACAGAACGCACGCAGCAGCAAGGGCAUGGCGACGCCCCUGGGCUCUUGCAGACUCAAUCCCGGAGGGAAAAACGGAUCUGAGAUUCUGUAUGGAGGUGUGAUGUUGCGAUUGGGCAUGGGAGGACGGCCAACAAUGGGUCGGUAGCACUGGAUGAGCGAGCGGAAAGCUUACGACCACCCAGGUUUUGCCGUUGUGCGGCCUCCUCCGCCUUUCCCGUGACGCGCGGCGAUGGCGGCGCUUCCCUGCUGCUAGCAGCCGCCUCAACGCCAACAAGGCCCGAUGGGAUUUCCCUGCUUCGCUGAUGCACACCCUCCUCAAUUUCGUCAAUGGAUAUACAUUCCACCUCUCCGGCGAUGCUACUCUGGCUGUUCCCUACAGCACAUUUGAGGCCAGAAAUUGCUUCAGUUCACUCCCUCUCCCCCCUGAUUUUCCCUUCAUUUUUCUUCUAUUUUUAAUUGGUAAUUUGGAUCUGCUGUAUAGCGAUGAUAUGUUCCAGAUUUCUUAUGCAUAAUUUGUUCCAUGUGGCCAUGUGAAUGACAAUCAGUAUUGCUUUCUUUUAUUCAAGAUGGUGUCUUAAUGUUCUCCUAUAGAACCAUAUGCUCUUCAAUUACCAGAUUUAUCAUCUAGCUGCCUCUGUUUGUGUUCGGUUGUAGUGAAACUGUCCAUUAAGAAGGUUACGUUUCCCUAACUCCUGAAGGUAGUAGAAAUGUUGGUGAGAUUUCCUACAAUGAGACGAUGAGCCUUCUAACUGAAAAGGGAUCUUACUAUAAAUAAGCUAUUUCUGCUUGAUUCUGUGUUUAUAUGCUGUUAAGGUUUCCUUUAAUUAGGAGUCUCAAUAUGCUAUUGAUAAUUUUGGUGCUUGUGCCGGUGAUUAUUAGCUUCAUCAUAUCUAUUAUUAAAAUAGGUCCUUGCUGAGCAGCCAUCAAUUCGCACGUUAGUUAGUUAAUGUCAUAUACCUAAUCAGUUCUUGCUGAUCCGGUGAAGCUGAGGGUGUCAUGGCCAGUGAUGGUUUUAAGCAUUUAAGUAGAAGCUGCACGUCCAUAAAAAAUUAUCUGAUGUUCAUGCUCUCCCCUUGGUCAAGUGAAGUUCGAUGUUUGGCAUUAGCAUGCAUUAAUUGGUAGUUCUUAGUUGGUUAUCAGAUAGUGAUGCAGAUGCACCCACAGUAGCCCCAUCUUGGCGAUGUCAUUGUUAGGUUUUGCAUGGUCAUGACCCAAUAUAUGUUUGGUAAGUUAAUUGAUUCUAGCAGUUGGUCAGUUCUAUAUGGUCAGGCUCAAGUUCCUAUAAUUAUAUUCCAGCAUCUCUGUAAGUCUACCUUUGCCUAAUUUGAAAAAUGGUAUUAUUUUGAUGCUGCCACUUUGCGUAGUGUGAGCCCAAGAAUUGUUAUUGGUCAUUAUAGUUAAAGCCAUAUUCUCCAUAGAGAUAAUUGACUUACAAUAUAUGUCUUUUGUUUCCACUGCUUUGUUAUUUUUUUGAUGUACCGAGUCAUGGCGGUAACAUAUAGGAAAUCCAUUUAGCCUUGCAUAUAAUGAACGAAUUAAGAUUGGCAUCAUCCCAAUCAUAGCUACUCUUGAUUCUUGCUAGAUGUUCUGAAGAAGAUUUAAAGAAUACAAUAGAGCACCCCCAGGGCUUGUGAUUCUUGCUUUGAUUUUUGGACUGCCAGCUUUAUUAGAUCACCAGAAUAGCAUAUUCAGUUUUCAGGUGAGAGCACCACUCUGAAAUUGUUCUAAAUCUCAUUUUAAUGGCAGACCAUGCCAGAGUUAUCUUGAACCAUGAAUAGACUAUGGUCAGUAAUUAACAUGGCAUCACUCUAGUCUCCUGUGCAAUGACCAAACAAAAUGAUCCACUUUUGCUUUUAAAAUGCAAUGUCGGCACGUAACAAGCAGCUUAGUGCUCAGCAUUAUAUAGUGACUUAAUUCACAGAUAAAGUGAGCUUAAUGCGCUCUCACCAAAAAUAAAACGUGUGACUGCAGAAGUAACAUGCUAACUUUGACUGGUCUACAACACUUUGACAGUGCAAUGCGUCUCAAGAGCUAUGACAAAUGAUCUCACUGAACUGAAAAACACAUGCACUGCACUGUUUUAAUUCCCUCGGUAAAAUUAAGGCCUCGUCAUGCUGAAUGGAGCCCGGAAACAUUGCUAAAUGCUGUGUUCUUGACUGCUUUCAGAAGUAGCAAAGCACACAUCAAUUGGUGCCAAAUGAUGCAAUAGCUCAAUUUAGUGAAUGAUGCAGUACUUCAAGUUAGGUUUCAUGAUAAUAACCUUUGUUGUUUCAGGUUUACCGUGGCUCUUGGUAGGGGGUGAUGUGAGUUCUUAUGGAGCUUGAUCCAUACCACCUAGGCCACUGCACAGACUUGCCGCAGCCUGUUGAAGAUCUACAAUCAGAUCAAACACAUGACAUGAAGUCAGGCACUUAUUUGCCUUCUCAGCUGCCAAUUCAUGUGUUGGGAUCUUAUGAUUCUCCAUAACAGUUCAUCAUUAUUUGCAUAUUACAGUUCAUGCUUUAAGAACUUACAUGAAGGCCAGUUGAAGCCACUGGAAACUAAAAGCCGAUAUUGGUGGCUUUCAUUUAUUUGCACAUUAUUGAGUUCUGAUCUGGGCUGAUUUUCAAAGUAUACAUUUGAUUGUAACUAUAAUGACUGUAACAAAGUUACCGUUAGAUUGGAGGGAUGAUAUUGUAACCCGAAACUUUAUGAAUUGGAAAGAAUUAGUAUAAAGCAGGAAUGGGCUGUAUUUAUAUCAUAUGAGGUUUUAUAUAUCACAGUCACGUACUGUUAAUUGUUUGCUUAUAUCUCUAUACAAGAUGUUCUAGUGGUGGUAACAACGGAGAUGUUCUCAUUGAACCGGGUCGCCGCCGCCUCUUCCUCGGGCGACCAGCAGCGAGUUCGACGACCGCGGUCAGACGGCGACGGCAGCAGGACUGCAACCGCUGGUCUAGAUUCAGACGGCGGCGAGGCGACUCUUCCAGGUGCAUAUCUCCUCGUCCUCGUCCUGCUCCCCUUCUUACUAGGUUAAAUCCCGUACUCAUGUGCUGUGCUAGAUCUGCUAUGGCUCUGAUCGGUAUGAACUCCUGAUGCAUCCCUUCGUAUUAACUCCGAAUGCUUUAGGGAAUCGUGGAUAGUCAUAGUUGGGUGCCCUGUUCUACCUGAUGCUCCCGUUCGUAUUUCUGUGCCUUCUACCUUGGCUUGGAUUAGUUCUUGAUACAAUCCUGUCAGCUAUUUUAUUCUGCCUUGUUGUGUUGCAAUUCUUUUCUCUGUCAGCUACAUUGUUGUUGCAGUGGCCUAUGGAGGCAUCUGCCUUGAUGUUUGGAUUCGAUGUGUACCUUUUUAUGCUGUCCUAUAGAUAAUGCAAUGAAAAAUUGAAAUAUACAUUUCUGUGAGUCAAAAUUAUUAGGGUUUUGCUAUUUAUCUGUCAUCAGAUUUUCUAGAAAAAAUCUGUCAAAUUUUGGUUCAUACAAUAUUCUUCGAGAUUCGUGCUGUCAUGGUAUGUUCCCUUCCCUCUCCUAGUCAUGGGUCUCUGGUGUGCUUUUCUCUUUUCUUAUCUGAUGAACGUUGUGUGUAUUUGUGCGCAGGUGUCUAAGCUAGAGAUAGUGCUCGAGUAGGAGCAGCAGCUGGACAGGGUUCUGCAGUGAGUCUGACAGUGCGUGUCUCCUCCUUUUCUUUGCUGAUUCCCUGUCUCUUUGUUUGAUGGCUGCAUGUGUCACUAUAUGUUCAGUUAGUGUGAUCUCUCAUGGAUUGCAAUACAUAUAUUUACUGAUUCUUUCAGUAGUACUCAAACAAAUUCCACAUUGUCCUGAUAUGGUCUUUCAUAUAAUCAUGUUAUCUGGUCUCAAUUAAGAUUUGUAACAAUAGCUUUCUCUUUAGAUAUGUUCAAACAGUGGUUAAAAGCUAAUUCUACCAGCUUGUCUGCUGAAACACCUUGAUAAAUUCUAUAAUAAGAAGGAUAUACCUUGGGUAAAUCUGAUUUGGGAGACUUAUUACAAUAAUGGGGAGGUUCCCCAUGCGACAGCUGAUAAGGGGUCAUUUUGGUGGAAAGAUUUACUAAAGUUAUGUGAUCUUUUUAGAGGAAUUGCUACUUCCAGUCUUGCACCAUGGGAGAUAAACAAAGUAUCCUUUUCUGGGAAGAUACAUGGAACAACAGAUUGUUAAAACAGUCAUUUCCAAGACUUUACAGCUUUGCAAGAAACAAAAAUAUUUCAGUAGCCAAGUUUCUCCAAAACAAUGAUAUGCAAGAACAAUUUCAUAUCCCUCUCUCAGUUGAGGCUUUUCAAGAGUUUCAAGAACUCCAGGAAAUUAUCCAAGGGAUACAAGUUCAGGAAAAUGAAAAGGAUUGUUGGCAAUAUAUCUGGGGUUCCAACAAAUACUCAUCUAAGCAAUUUUACAACCUCCCAUACAAAAACAUCAGACCUCCUUCACGCUUCUUAUGGAUUUGGAAAUCAAGAUGUUGUAACAAGCUCAGAACAUUCUCAUGGCUUUUACUCAUGGAUAGACUGAACACUAGAAACCUACCCAGAAGAAGAAACUUCAACACAGUAGACAACAAUUACAACUGUGUGAUAUGCAACGGCAAUAUGGAGGAGACUGCAUUUCAUCUAUUCUUUUCAUUCCUUCAGUAGAUCCUGCUGGCAAACCAUUGGUCUUGAGUGGAGAAGAGACCUCAAUUUCUUUCAAAUGAUGAAGAGAACCCAACAGGAAUUCCAUAACUGGUUCUUCAUGUUGGUUUCCAUAAUAGCCACUUGGCACAUCUGGAAACAAAGGAACAAUCUCAUUUUUGAAGGAAGAAGACCUACAGUUAGAGAAUGGACAUCAAACUUUAUAGAGGAGGCACGACUUCAAGCUCACAGAAUCAAGGAUAGCAAAAGACAGGAUUUUCUCAAUUGGGUCAACAAUGUACAGUUAUAGCCCUUUCCCCUAGUUUCUUAGAUGUUUUUCUGUUGUCUUUUCUCUCUUUUGGGUGCUGAGGUGCCUUUUGGACUGUCGUCCUUGUACAUUUUUCUCUUUUGAUAAUAUGUCUUACCACAGUGGGGGUCUCCCCUGCCGUAUAGCUUUCAAAAAAAAAUCUAUCAGCUUGAAGUCUGAGCCGCGAAGAACAAACAUGAUUGCAAGUAUACCAUGGCUGCAGUCACAGAGGAAUCGUCAUCAUAGUAUUUCACUUCAUCUCUUAAUUUAUUUUGUCUGUGUGAUGGUGUGUCAGUUUCAAAGGUUGCCAUUUCCUACGAGAUGUCCUGCUUGAUAACAUUUAUCAUGCCUGCUGAUUUGCGGAUCAUCAGUCUUGGUCUAGUUCUAGAUCUAGAGAUUUGCAAAAUGCUAUGGUAAUUCUGGUCAUGGUCUAGAGAUAUAAUUUCAUGACUAUCAUUGUAGUUUACUUCUCUGUUUUUUGUUGUUUUAUGUUAUAUGGUUCUUUUUAUUUAUUUUUUUAUGUGCAGGGCUGACCACGGUCAUGGUAGCUUUAGGUUGAGUACAUUAUAUUCAUUUUUGUCAGUUUAUAUGUUGUCUAUUUAAUUUUCCAGCUAUUUGCUUUUUCACUAUGUAUGAGUUGAUAUUUGCAUUGGUAGGUUCUUGUGCUUAUUUUAUAGGCUUUCGGCUAUUUGUGUUGAUGAAAUCGGAUCAUGGAAAGUAAUGAAUAUCAGAUUGCUAGGGAAUUUCUUUUAUUUAUAGUUCAUUUAUGUUGUAGUUACAUCAAAUUUGAUAUGUAACAAUAGUUUAAAUUUAAGUGUAAGCCAAUUUGAUUUGAUUUUUGCUGAUCUGAGUUGAGCUCUAGAAAUUUGAUUUGAAUUUCUUUUAUUUAUAGUUUAUUUAUGUUUUAGCUACAUAAAAUUAAUGAGUUACAUUCUUAAUUUUGUGUAUGUCUAAUUUAUCUUGUAUAUAGGUUGCAUGUGAGUAUUUGGUGUUAUUAGGUGUUGUUAUGUCUUAAUUUAUCGGAGCAUUAGGACUGCCAAGUGAAGCUUUAUUUAUCACUAUGGUCUAUUAUUGAUUACUAUAUUUUUAAUUUUUUCUAUUUGUAUUUGGACCAUGAAAAUAUCAAACACCUGAUCCGCUUUAGGAUAAUAUAUCAAGAUUGCGAAGGUAGAAUAUGUUUUUCUUUUGUGUGAUUUGAUCUAUUAUUGUUUGUAAUAUGUGUAGGAACACGAUAAGUUUUUUUGUGGUGAUGUGUCUUUUUACUGUCAAAUGAUUUAUUUGAUUCCAUUAAGUGAGACUAGUAAUAAAUAUGUAGCUAUUGCUGUACUCCUUUUACACUAACUAUAUACUGUAAGUGGGGUUUAUUUCUAGUGGAAGUGCUUUCGGUCAUUCAGAUUUAAUCUUCAUCAAUUUAUAGUUUAUUUGCUUAUGUAAAUUUUCUUCAUUUGCGCUGUAUGUACUUCUCGUCCAAUGUCCGUUAUGAGUUUACUGCAAUUUAUAUUGUCUAUGUUCCUUUACAUGUGAAAUCCAUAUAUUGGCCUUUAUGCCAUCCUGUUCAUGUGAAAUUCGUUUCUUGGUCUCUGAUAAAAUUUAUUUUUAUGAUUUAUGGUAUUGGAAUAGGCAUCGAGCACUAUGUCUGGCAGCAAGGAAAACGGAUGCAAUUGAGUUUUACCUCCCUGGUUUGAAGUGCCCCUUCGAUCUGUUGCCAUCCCUGCGCCGGCGGCCGCAAGAACUGCACUCACACAGGCUCCCUUAUAUCAUUUAUCGUGUGAUCUUUUUGGCUCACUUUAUGUUAAGAUUUGGACACCAAAUAUCUUUCAACAGAUGGUUAGAUAGUAGUCCCAAUGCUAAUACAAUGGUAUGCUGCAUAUUCUAAUAUAAGUCAUACAAUGCUUGCUAUUCAAAUCUUGUUUCACUUAUGCUUUGGAGGUGCUUGUGUUGGCCCAAUUUCAUGGCUGGGUAAAGUAAACUGCUGGGAGAAAGCUGGUUGGUGUGCUUGUAUUGUAUUGAGUUGCAUGCACCGACCAGUUCGACCCAAAAGCUUAAGCUGAUGGGGAGAGAGAUCUUGGUAAUUUAAACUUAUCUGGUCAUCUGGUGCCUGAGCUUGGGAAAUUGGAGCAUCUGCAAUAUCUGUAAGUUGUUUUUUACCCAAAUACAUCUUUGGUGCUAAAUUAUCCUCCAGAUUCACGGUUGUGUUCCGAUUCAAUGUGGCAUAUAUGAGCUACUGAUCAUGAAUUCGUGAUGACCUGAUCCCUGCCACAAAUUCAUGUCUUUGUCUCAGUUCAGUUCAUCAUCAUUUGACUUUGCCUUUCAUCAUUUUCCUUUUGACAUAGGGACCAUAGAAGCAGUACUAUGUUUGUCUUAGAAUAAUAACCUAGACAUUUAGUGUGAUAAUUCUUUGCCAAUGGUAUGCCAAUGUGUGUUUUCAUAAAAAGCAUCUGUCAUUUUGCAUUGAAGUAACUAGUUUAUUCUUCUUUGCGUCGGAAAGGCUAAUUCUGUGUGGAGAAGGCAUAAAAGACACAUGUUGGGGUGAUGAGGACCUUUCUGUUCUUCCACUGUAGUUUUUAGGUCAUUUACUACUAUACUAGAUGACUGACGAUUCUUCUCAGUUUUAUCUGUUCUGUUCCUUUAAUUAUUCAACUUCGUUUACAUGCUCUGUUAACUGCCCUUGGUGCUUUAAUGCUACAUGUUUAUGCAGCACCAUUUGUAGCUUUUCCUGUUUCAUAGGCUGUUUAGUUAAUGAGUUCAUCACAUAUUUGAAGUGCUUGCUUGGAAGUGUUGACAUGUGUAUUGUGCAUGCUAAGAACUUUGAGUUGCCAUUCCUGGUAAUUCUAUUGUUGGCCAGAUGUGUUCCAUGUGUGUC